ACAUAUCAAAUGCUCCGCUAAAACAGUCCAACACGGAUUGAUCUGGGACUGGAAAAGCCUAACUGGGGACAGGUUGUGUGCAAAAUUAAAAACUUUUUAGAACGCAUUUUAUUCAGUUGCUGUAUUUUAUUUGUGUUCUGUUUCUACAUAGACAUGCUUUUUACAUGCCUUUUUGUGUUCGGUUUCUAGAUUGAUUUUGUUUUCUGUGCGCAUGCGCAAUCUACUGUACGCUGAUUAUUCUGGGAUUUAACAGCACAAAAUAUUUUAAAUCAACUAAACACUGUAUUCAAUAAAUCAUAAAUGAUCAUC